rnacentral:rRNA from 1 species
UACAGAGGUCUCAAGCGUUGCUCGGAAUUAUUGGGCGUAAAGCGCACGUAGGCGGUUUGUUAAGUCGGAUGUGAAAUCCCUCGGCUCAACUGAGGAAGUGCAUCCGAAACUGGCAAGCUUGAGUACGAAAGAGGGUCGCGGAAUUCCCGGUGGUAGCAGGUGAAAUUCGUAGAUAUCGGGAGGAACACCAGUGGCGAAGGCGGCGACCUGGGCCAAUAG